rnacentral:lncRNA from 1 species
GAAGGCAUGCAUGCAAGAGAGAAAGCUAAGGACAGAAGAGCUGUCAAUCAAUAGGAACAUUCCAUUUGGAAUGUUCCCGGGAAAACAGUUGGAGCUAAGGUAACAGCUAAACUGGACUGGACCCUUUGGCUUCUGACAGAAUGGUAGAGAAAAAGCUGUGGUUUCUGGCUUUUGGACUAAGUUUUGGCUGCUUGUAGCUGAUGGUGAAGACCUUUAAGCUUUUGCUGACUGACUGAGAUGUCUCUGGCUCUGAUUCUGACCAGGAUAGUGAUGAGUGGAAAGAUUAUUCUAACUCCUUUCAAAAUGGAAAUCAUGUUAAAGAAGUAUUAACAGAGGGGCAACGGGGCAUUCCAUCUAACAACUGAAACCUUCCAUACACUUUGUUUCCCCUCAUCAGAAUGACCUAUUUCAUUAUUAUGGUUUUUAUAGUUCAGAUUCAAAUGUAUUCCUGGUCUCCACUCAGUUCCCAGACUGUGAUUGACCUCAUGCACUCCAACCAGAGCCUGUGGGCAGUUCUGCUACUGCAACUGCAAGCAGUCAGUCCACCUCCCUCUAUGACAACAACCAUGGACUUUAUUCUCCUAAGAAUGACCACAACUGACCUCAGCAAACACACUCACAGGAGGGACAGAGUCAAGACAUCAGAGAAAGUACACAGAUCCAUCUUGAUCUCUACUAAAUUACUCUCCUGCUAUAACAUUAAAAAUGAAUUCUGAAACAGCAUAACUCACAAAAGGGUGGGGUGAAAUAAAACUUUAGUAAAAAAGAAAACA